rnacentral:lncRNA from 1 species
GGUGGUCCUAUUUUUCUGAACUUUUAGUAUCAGACAUUGUCACUUCACACGCAUUAGUAGAUCUCCUGCUCAUUAAUUCCAUACUUUAAUCUAUAGAGAAGUCUCCCAGUUUAGUGAGAGUGUCGAUGAGGUGUCACCUCUAUAAAAAUUUUAUGGGAUAAUAGAACUUACAUGAAGAUGAAAUCAUUGAAGCUGUCAAAGAUUUUUUCCCUC